CCUACGGGUGGCAGCAGUAGGGAAUCUUCCACAAUGGGCGAAAGCCUGAUGGAGCAACGCCGCGUGGGUGAAGAAGGUCUUCGGAUCGUAAAACCCUGUUGUUAGAGAAGAAAGUGCGUGAGAGUAACUGUUCACGUUUCGACGGUAUCUAACCAGAAAGCCACGGCUAACUACGUGCCAGCCGCCGCGGUAAUACGUAGGUGGCAAGCGUUAUGCGGAUUGAUGUGGCGUAAAGGGAACGCAGGCGGCAGUUCAAGUCUGAUGUGAAAGACGUGGGCUUAACCGGUGUAGUGCAUUGGAAACUGGGAGACUUGAGGACAGGAGAGGAGAAUGGAAGUCCGAGUGUAGCGGUGAAAUGCGUAGAUAUAUGGAAGAACACCAGUGGCGAAAGCGG
rnacentral:rRNA from 1 species